CUGGGAGGUCGGGGGAGGAGCUGGUCUCAGGGUCUCCAGCGGGCAGGAAGCAUUGCGGGGCGGGGGCAGAGCUGAUCGGCGGGGCUGCCAGUAGGUGCUGAGCACCCACUAUUUUUAUUCCAUGGUUGCGCCAGCCCUGGAGCACCCACAGAGUCGGUGCCGAUGGUAGAAAAGAAACUUUAAAUGAGAGGAGGGAAGUCACCCGGCAUUGAUUAAGGAAAAUGCCACACGCAGGAUUCAUAAACAUAAAACCAUGAGCAAAACACCCUCUCCAGUGUACGUUGGUCAGUGUCUUCUGCCUCAUGUUCUGGAGUUCCAUAACCAAAAGUUCCUUUGCUCUGCCCCUCUCUGCUCCCUCACCCCACCCCACUCACAGUGGUUGUCCUUGGUCAGUGAAGACUCAGGGUUCAGAGAUGCAUCUGUGUGAGCUCACCUCCCACCCUGGGGGGUGGGGGGGAAGAAGAAGGCACCUUUCUUGCUCCACUGUCCAAGCACUUGCUCUGGUGUCACCACCCUGCCGCACACCCCACUGGCCCACUCCACCGGCCGCCCUGCCAGCCAUCACCUGCUUCUCUGCUAUAACCUCUGCAGAUCAGGGCAUGUCUACACUUGCAAUUUAAAGCAGAAAAAGUCCCCUUUUUGCAUAAAAACCUCAUCUCUUGACGUUCUACGCUGCUCUUAGUGAUUUUCAACUCUUAGAGGGGGAACUUCCUUGCUGAAGCAGGCUGGGCAGAAACACUGUCCCACAUCAAGUGAUUUCAGCUCUCGUGAUCACUUAAAAAACAGAAGACUCCGAAUGGAGUCUUAAUUAGUUCUGUCUUUGAACAGUGGAGAGGAGCAAGUUAAGCCAUGCCUAGGACUCUUGGGUAAAGUCCACACUUCCCAGCAAGCACACCUGUCCCCACUUCCUCUUAACCUUCACAGGGGUCUGGCAUCCAAGCCCCCCGCGUAGUGAGUUCAGUUCAGGGGAGGGUGACCCCCUCAGUCAGGACAGGCUAAAUGCUACUCUGCUGCCCUUUACUCAUACAAUAAAGAUAACACUAUUUCAUUACCCCCACAUUCAAUACCGAAGUGAUCUGUAAUCCAGCACCAGCCACAGUUGAUCACUUUGGCAACACAGCUCUGUCUGGUGGAUACCUAGGCAGAGUCGGUGUGUUCAUGUAAAUACAGUCUGCACCUGAAGCCUUUUCCCCUCCCCAGCGAGCUGUCAGGGGAGAGCUCAUUCAGACCCUGCUUGCACACGAAACAAUCUGGACCCUGACACAUCCAUGCACGUCAGUGGCACCGAAAGCCACAGCUGGUACCUGUGUCCUGCUCUUCUUUCUCUGCCAUAUCUCGUUCUUCUCUCCUCCUUCAGCUCUUACCCAUCCAGCAGCCAUGCUCCACCCAUAUUAACUGCUGCGGCCAUUAGCCCAGAUAACAUUAGGAGGAUGUGGGGUGGCCUUACAGCUGACGUACACCAUGUAUUGUACACCAGGAUGUACACACCAGGGUGAAACUCCAGGGAGCCCUGGGCCCUCUGAGGAAGGAGUUGGAAGAGGCCCUGGCUUUGACAUCUAAAGAGAAGGAGAAAACCACAGAGUGGCAGGUGCGGAGGGUGUGUCGGCUGCUCCAGCCAUCGGUUUUCAGUGGCCUCCACGACAAAGCUCUGCAGCUUCUCUGCAGCCUGGAGGAAACAGAUUGUUCCUUCUCGCCCUGCUCCCACAGUCCCUA